CCACGUUGUCACUUUGUCUUCCCAUAAAAUUUCCGAACACAUAAACCCCCAAAAACAGUCAUCAUAUCUGUAGACCUUUCUAUACAUUACUACUAAAAACUCAAAACCCUAGCUCAAAAGCCUCCAUUUUCGAGAACCCAAAUCUUUGUAUGUUCUUACUCCCCUUUGUUCCUUACAUUUUCAGUGACCUUUUUGAAUAUUUGUUACAUUUCUUUGCUUAUUUUUUCUUCAUUUUCAUUUACUUUUGUGUGUGUUUUAUCCUCUCAAAAAUAUCUCCUCACCAAGAAACAGGCUCCACAAUCUUUUCAGUUGUUGUAAAAAAGUACCAUUUUGCAAAACAUUCUACUGCUCAAACUUCCUACUCCAAGAUAAAUCCUAAAACUUAAAAAUUGCAAUCCACAUGUUCUAUUGCUGGGCCCGUGCUACGCGGGCCUUGCACUUCUAGUCUUUAUCAUAAAUAGCCAAAUAAAAUCUGUCCCAACUAAAAAGUUAACACAUCAUGGAAAAUUGUUUUCCUUAAUUAACAUAGUCAAUUGUUUUCCUUAACGUUCACCUAUACGCUCCCCCUUGGCUGACCG